GAUGAACGCUGGCGGCGUGCCUAAUACAUGCAAGUCGAGCGAACAGACGAGGAGCUUGCUCCUCUGACGUUAGCGGCGGACGGGUGAGUAACACGUGGAUAACCUACCUAUAAGACUGGGAUAACUUCGGGAAACCGGAGCUAAUACCGGAUAAUAUAUUGAACCGCAUGGUUCAAUAGUGAAAGACGGUUUUGCUGUCACUUAUAGAUGGAUCCGCGCCGCAUUAGCUAGUUGGUAAGGUAACGGCUUACCAAGGCGACGAUGCGUAGCCGACCGGAGAGGGUGAUCGGCCACACUGGAACUGAGACACGGUCCAGACUCCUACGAGAGGCAGCAGUAGGGAAUCUUCCGCAAUGGGCGAAAGCCUGACGGAGCAACGCCGCGUGAGUGAUGAAGGUCUUCGGAUCGUAAAACUCUGUUAUUAGGGAAGAACAAAUGUGUAAGUAACUAUGCACGUCUUGACGGUACCUAAUCAGAAAGCCACGGCUAACUACGUG
rnacentral:rRNA from 1 species